AAGGUGCCUAUUUAAUUAAAGUACUCAAAGGUUUGUUAUUUUAUCCAAGAUUGACAAGCUCACUGACUUCACAUUUAGUUUACUUUGGAUACAUUUGGAAUGGUUAGCCUUGCCAGCCAACGGAACUAACGUCAGCUAACGGCUACGUAACGUUACACCUGUCAACUAAAAUAAUUCACAAAUGUAUAUGUUUGAAGUUUAUAAAUUUAAGCUUAAGCACAUCCUUGUGUUGUACCAGGUUGCUGUUUAUCCAUUGAUUAUGCUAUGUUUCUGAAACAUUUUCAGUGUGCUUAAGUUCUGCUUGGUUUUGGUGAGCUAUUCAUUUAUGAUUCAAAUCUUCAUAUGAAUGUCGCACGUUUAUAGAUGGCGGAAUCUCCGGCUUCAUCUGGCGACAAUCAAAAGGACUGUGGCAAAAAUAUGAUGGAGUUGAACAAGGGUUUAGAGAGGAUGAUCGAAGACAUGGAAAAUCAAUCAGUGCAGCUGAAGUGGAUGACCUAUGACCUGGUGGUGCAGCGGACCAGUCCUGAUCCAGCGGAUGGAUUCCAACAGAGAUGCAUGAUUCACUAGGAAUGUCUGAUGUUCUGACCUUUAUUCAAAUUAAUAUACCAGGCUACUGUAUGGAUUUCUAUGUGAAUCAGUGACCAUGCAGGUUGACAUGACUUUGUUGUACUGACUGAAUGUAAUCUAGUUGACUGGGGCUUCAGAUGGAGAGAAGAGAGAGGAGAACAGAACAGGGUGAAUACUGUUGUACUGACUGAAUGUAAUCUAGUUGACUGGGGCUUCAGAUGGAGAGAAGAGAGAGGAGAACAGAACAGGGUGACUACUAAUCUGGACCACAUUCUGAAGGGGCUGGACUCCAUGUCUGAGCGUCUGGACAGACUGGCAUGUACGUAUGUCUGUAGGGCUCUGGUCAACAGUAGUGCACUAUUGGAAUAGGGUGUAAUUUGGGACUCAAUCGGCGUUCUAAUGUGUAGAUACUAUGCAAAUGGAGUGAUGAAACUGUUGUGUUAACUCUGAAAUGCGUCCUCCUGCGCGUCCAAAAUAGAAUUUCGACCCGCUAGCCAACGAACCGCUGUGCAAUUCAACCAUGAUGUUCAGAUGUUCAACGUGUCAGAAUUUGGCAUGUGGCUUAUCGAUGGCCUUUGGAUAGGAUGGGCCCCCAGUUGAUGUGUUAGAUAUGGGGAGAUGUGUCUAGGCUAUGACAGUCAGACUGAUUAUGAGAUGAUUUGAUGUGAAGACAUGAAGCUGUGUCUCUGCCAAAGGAGACGGAUAGUUGGCAAACAAACGUUCAUCACUACAACAGUGAGGCUAUGUCCCAAAAAGGCACCAUAUUCCCUACAUAGUGCACUAGUUUUGACCAGAGACAUAUGGAGCCUGGUCAAAAGUAGGGCAGUGUAUAGGGAAUAGUGUACUAUUUGGGACACAUCAAUAAUAUGACAUCUUAAUCUCAAUCUGUAUCUUAUUAUACAUAAUGAACUGGUAGACAUUU
rnacentral:lncRNA from 13 species